GCGUGGGUGAAGAAGGCCUGCGGGUUGUAAAGCCUUUCGGUGGGGAAGAAAAGCCUCGAGUUAACACCUCGGGGUCUUGACGUAACCCAUAGAAGAAGCACCGGCUAACUCUGUGCCAGCAGCCGCGGUAAUACAGAGGGUGCGAGCGUUAAUCGGAAUUACUGGGCGUAAAGCGCGCGUAGGCGGCUUUGCAAGUCGGGUGUGAAAUCCCCAGGCUUAACCUGGGAACUGCAUUCGAGACUGCAUUGCUAGAGUAUGGGAGAGGGAAGUGGAAUUCCCGGUGUAGCGGUUGAAAUGCGUAGAUAUCGGAAGGAACAUCAGUGGCGAAAGCGACUUCCUGGACCAAUACUGACGCUCAUGUGCGAAAGCGUGGGGAGCAAACAGGAUUAGAUACCCUGGUAGUCCACGCCAUAAACGAUGAGAACUGGAUGUCGGGAGGGUCUGCCUCUCGGUGUCGUAGCUAACGCGUUAAGUUCUCCGCCUGGGGAGUACGGCCGCAAGGUUG
rnacentral:rRNA from 1 species